rnacentral:lncRNA from 1 species
CGCUUGCCCCUUCUUCGGGCGUAGGCAUUACUGUAUCAAGGACGUACACGAUUUUCUCCGCUGUGAGAACAAUUCUCAAGUUACGGAGCCAAUCCGUAUAAUUUGGACCAGUGAGGCGGUUGACAUCAAGUAUGCCACGUAAGGGAUUUGAAAGCGACAUUUUCUGAAAAUAAAGAUGUAGCAGAAAUGAAUAACAUGCAGAUUUUGCAAGAAAUAAACUAUCAAGAUAUGGAAUUCUAUCUUAAUAUGCUCUCACUAUUUUACUAAC